rnacentral:rRNA from 1 species
UACGUAGGGUGCGAGCGUUGUCCGGAAUUACUGGGCGUAAAGAGCUUGUAGGUGGUUUGUCGCGUUGUUCGUGAAAGUCCGGGGCUCAACUCCGGAUCUGCGGUGGGUACGGGCAGACUAGAGUGAUGUAGGGGAGACUGGAAUUCCUGGUGUAGCGGUGAAAUGCGUAGAUAUCGAGAGGAACACCUGCGGCGAAGGCGGGUAGCUGGGCCGACACUGACGCUGAGGCGCGAAAGCCAGGGGAGCGAACGGG